rnacentral:rRNA from 1 species
GUGCACCAGGCGAGAAACCUCCGCAAUACACGAAAGUGUGACGGGCCAUCCCGAGUGCCGUCCGCUGAGGACGGCUUUUCCCCAGUGUACAUAGCUGGGGGAAUAAGGAGAGGGCAAGCCUGGUGUCAGCCGCCGCGGUAAUACCAGCUCUCCGAGUGGUGGGGACGCUUAUUGGGCCUAAAGCAUCCGUAGCCGGCUGGGCAAGUCCUCCGUUAAAUCCAACGAUUCAAUCGUUGGGCUGCGGGGGAUACUGUCCAGCUUGGGGCGGGAGAGGCCGACGGUAUUCCCGGGGUAGGGGUGAAAUCCUAUAAUCCCGGGAGGACCACCAGUGGCGAAGGCUGUCGGCUAGAACGCGCCCGACGGUGAGGGAUGAAAGCUGGGGGAGCGAACCGGAUUAGGAUACCCGUGUAGU